CUGGGGACUUGUUACAAAGCAGAUUCUGAUUCAGCUGGCGUUGGCUGGGUCCCGGGAUUCUGCAUUUCUAACAAGUUCCCAGGUGAUG
rnacentral:miRNA from 1 species